GCUAGUUAUUAUCCAUAUCUGUUUUGAGGUAUGCAUUGGAUUAGACUUGCAUGGAUAAGCAACUCUUUGUCUGUACCAUAAACUGUUGACUACAAUAAACAUUGCUCUUUACAGCUCCUGACAACUGAUGUGGCGGCAAGAGGGCUUGAUAUUCCAAAUGUUCAACACGUCAUUCAUUACCAGGACAUCAGAGACUUAUGUCCACCGCAGUGGAAGGACUGCACGAGCCACCAGAGGGUCUCAGUUUGCUCCUGGUUGGGCCAGAUGACAUGAUGCACUUCAAGAAAAUCUACAGAGCUCUGGGAAAGGACGAGGAGGUUCCCAUGUUUCCCAUACAGAGCAAGUGCAUGGCUGCCAUCAAGGAGCGAGUCAACAUGGCCAGGAAGGUAGAGAAGAUUGAAUUCCACAACAGCAGAGAGAAGCAGCACAACUCUUGAUUUAAGCAAGCAGCAGAAGCUCUGGAGGUGGACCUGGAUGAUGAUGUUUUGCUUGUUAAGACUACAUUAAAUGAGUUAUCUAGGAGUGGGAGGUUGCCCCAUGAGAAACCUAGAAAUAAGAGGGACUUACAUAAAUAGAUCAGAGUGAACUGACAUUUAGUUUUUUUUUUAGGGGUGGAUGAGGAGGAUGACAGGCAGCAGCAGAAGAUGGUGAAGGGCAUGAAGAAGCACCUGAAACACCUGAUUUCUCAGUGUAUUCAAGAAUGUGAUGAAGACCAAGUACCCCACACAGAUGGGAAAGCUCUCCCUGCCCAACAUGCC